ensembl:lncRNA
GGCCUGAGGGAAGGUAGUUUGAGCUUCACCAGGCAGUUAUGUGUAGCUGCGUGAAUUUCCACUGCCUACUGAUUCUGUGGUGUGGAUAGCAGUGUCUCGGCUGGAGGGUUUGCUUUAGCUGAAGACAGCUUCCAAGAAAUAGUGAAAUAAUACAUCCAGUGAUACCUGUCAAUGGUCUUUUCCUGUCUUUGGUGAGAAGCAAAUACAUCAUGUCUACAGGACAUCAACCAAAGAAUAGUUUGAAGCCUAUUUCCAGGAAGAGAAACACUGGAGGUGAGCUACAGCAAUAAAGUGCCCGUGCUGAGGAACGGCAAAAUGAACUGAACAUAUAAAACAAGUUGUAAGGACAGGCCAAACGUCAGGUCUGUAUCUGAGAAUAGAGUUAAUAAUGGAAUGCGCACUCAGGACCCUUUGAGGUGCAGUGUGAAUCAUUGUUUAAACACAAUUUGGCUGGACUUUACAGUUGCUGCACUGGGAUUGAGAAAUGUCAGCCAGUACCAGGCAAAAGGAGAAUUCAAACCUCCUUCCAGAUGACAACCAGAGAAGAACAUUUCAGCAUUAUGGGAUUAUAGCAAGAGCCUGAUUCUGCUACUGAAGUGACCUUCCAGUCUUGCUUUCUCCCUAAGUUUGGUUUAACUUCAAAAGUCACUUAAUUUAACCUGGUUUAGUUCCCCUAUCAGCACAGAUGUGGGGUUGGAUGAAAUGACAUGUGAAGGCAUUUUAGUUCCAUAAUACAAGAUGAACAAUACUUAAAGAGUAUAUAAAAAGAGCCAAGGUCAGUCUUAGGGGAUAUAAAACCUGGUUUUGACCAGGUGUCAAAAACCAAAGUCAAGUUCAAAUGCUAGAUUAGAAGGUUUGUUGUAUGAAUUAUGAAUGUGUAGGUGGUAGAAAUUAUUGUCACAUGGAAGUAAGGAAAACCUGCACCCCAGUCCCAGUUUUGCAGCCAGCCAACUGUGUGCUGGAAUUUUCAGGCUCAAGUCACCUAUUAGUGAAAUGAGAAGACAAGAGCAGCAUAAUCUGGAAGCUUCACACACAUUUGCUUUUCUAAGGGGGCAAAUCUGGCCAGUUAUGUAUGGCACGGGGCAGCACCAAUUCAGGGAGCAAGUGAGCCAUAGUUGAUAUGAUUUCUUAACCAAUGGUAGUAAACUGAUGUGAGGUUUAAUCAUUCCUUAUUCUGUUUCUCUGGGCUUAGAUACUUUUUAUUUACUUGAAUUCCUUAUUGUAUCUAAAAAUUGUCCCUCCCUUCAUAAAAUGUCAUCACAGCCAUAGAUAAAUCACCUCUAUGCUACCUCUGGUCAGCAUCUCAUUGAUCAUGACCUCCACCUUCCCCUUCUUAGUGGUAUUUGUAUUAUUUUAUAUUUCCAUUUAUGUCUGUAACAUUUUGAAAUAACUCAUAUUAGCAAUCAAAUCUCUUCU